CUACGGAAGGCAGCAGUGGGGAAUAUUGCACAAUGGACGAAAGUCUGAUGCAGCAACGCCGCGUGGAGGAUGACACAUUUCGGUGCGUAAACUCCUUUUAUAUGGGAAGAUAAUGACGGUACCAUAUGAAUAAGCACCGGCUAACUCCGUGCCAGCAGCCGCGGUAAUACGGAGGGUGCAAGCGUUACUCGGAAUCACUGGGCGUAAAGAGCGUGUAGGCGGAUAUAUAAGUCAGAAGUGAAAUCCAAUAGCUUAACUAUUGAACUGCUUUUGAAACUGUAUAUCUAGAAUGUGGGAGAGGUAGAUGGAAUUUCUGGUGUAGGGGUAAAAUCCGUAGAGAUCAGAAGGAAUACCGGUUGCGAAGGCGAUCUACUGGAACAUUAUUGACGCUGAGACGCGAAAGCGUGGGGAGCAAACAGGAUUAGAUACCCCUGUAGCCCU
rnacentral:rRNA from 1 species